GGGACCAAUUGCCAACGCCAGAAGAUCUCGUGUCGAAGUCAAGGCCCCAGGAAUCAUCCCACGUUUGUCUGUGCGCGAACCAAUGGUUACUGGAGUCAAGGCCGUCGAUUCUCUU
rnacentral:sRNA from 1 species